CUCGGAAUCACUGGGCGUAAAGGACGCGUAGGCGGGAUGUCAAGUCAGGUGUGAAAUCCUAUGGCUCAACCAUAGAACUGCAUUUGAAACUGGCAACCUAGAGUAUGGGAGGGGGAGAUGGAAUUAGUGGUGUACGGGUAAAAUCCGUAGAUAUCACUAGGAAUACCUAAAGCGAAGGCGAUCUCCUGGAACAUAACUGACGCUAAGGCGUGAAAGCGUGGGGAGCAAACAGGAUUAGAUACCCUGGUAGUCCACGCCCUAAACGAUGAACACUAGUCGUCGUGAUGCUUGUCAUUGCGGUGAUGCACUUAACAGAUUAAGUGUUCCGCCUGGGGAGUACGGUCGCAAGAUUAAAACUCAAAGGAAUAGACGGGGACCCGCACAAGUGGUGGAGCAUGUGGUUUAAUUCGAAGAUACGCGAAAAACCUUACCCGGCCUUGACAUUGAUAGAAUCCAGCAGAGAUGCAGGAGUGCCCUUCGGGGAGCUUGAAAACAGGUGCUGCACGGCUGUCGUCAGCUCGUGUCGUGAGAUGUUGGGUUAAGUCCCGCAACGAGCGCAACCCUCGUCCUUAGUUGCCAGCAGGUUAAGCUGGGCACUCUAGGGAGACUGCCUUCGCAAGGAGGAGGAAGGUGAGGACGACGUCAAGUCAUCAUGGCCCUUAUGGCCAGGGCUACACACGUGCUACAAUGGGGCGUACAGAGUGUUGCAAUACCGCGAGGUGGAGCCAAUCACUUAAAGCGUCUCUCAGUUCGGAUUGUUCUCUGCAACUCGAGAACAUGGGGCUGGAAUCACUAGUAAUCGUAGAU
rnacentral:rRNA from 1 species